ACACUGGCUGGUCUCAACAACGACGCCGUUUUUGGAGGUGGUGCAGGAGGACCCCCGAAGGCUCCAACUGUAGGAGGAAAAGCUGCGACCAAUGAUCCAAAUUAUCAGG
rnacentral:sRNA from 1 species